rnacentral:piRNA from 1 species
UGAUCUGUCACGCAGCAAGGACCAGUC